GCUGGGAAUGGUGGUGCACACCUGUAACCCCAGCGACUCGGGAGGCUGAGGCAGGAGGAUUACAAGUUCAAAGUCAGCCUCAGCAACUUAGCAAGGCUCUGAGCAACUUAGUGAGACCCUGUCUCUG
rnacentral:sRNA from 1 species